UACGGAGGGUGCAAGCAUUAAUCGGAAUUAUUGGGCGUAAAGGGCGCGUAGGCGGGUUUGUAAGUCAGAUGUGAAAUUCCAAAGCUCAACUUUGGAGCUGCAUUUGAAACUGCAAGUCUUGAGGGAUGGCGGAGAAAAUAGAAUUCCACGUGUAGCGGUGAAAUGCGUAGAUAUGUGGAAGAACACCGGUGGCGAAAGCGGUUUUCUAGCUUUUACCUGACGCUGAGGCGCGAGAGCAAGGGGAGCAAACAGG
rnacentral:rRNA from 1 species